UACGGAGGGUGCGAGCGUUGUCCGGAAUCACUGGGCGUAAAGGGCGCGUAGGCGGCGCGGAUAGUCGGCGGUGAAAGCCCGGAGCUCAACUCCGGGUCGGCCGUCGAUACUUCCGGGCUUGAGCACUGUAGAGGCAGAUGGAAUUCCGGGUGUAGCGGUGGAAUGCGUAGAGAUCCGGAAGAACACCGGUGGCGAAGGCGGCUGCCUGGCCUGAUACUGACACUGAGGCACGAAAGCGUGGGGAGCAAACAGG
rnacentral:rRNA from 1 species